CGACACCCUACAGCCGAUGCGACUCACAGCCGAAACCCUAGCGCCGGUCCCGAUCUCCUCUGCCAGCCACCGGGGAACCACGUCGGUCGUCGCAACCGAGGCUGUGCCCUAGCCUCUCCGCACAACGCCGAGCCCUGAAUUUGAUUCGCCGGACCUCCCUUCCCUCUGUGCUGCAGCUACCUUCUCCGACUGCAGACCGGUGCCGAGCAUUAUGCUUGAUUGAUUGUGCCAAGCCGUGCUCUAGCCGGAUCUUGUAGAGGCGUGGAUUGUUGAGGUAAUCUGUUUGUGGAGUAUUCUUCCGGCAACAACCUCCGAUAGUUGAGAAUCGAACAGAAGGGAAGAAUUCCAAGAGGUGAGGUUACUGGUACUUGGGUAUUCAGUUGGUGGACAGCAUGUUUGAUCAGGGCAAAGGUAAAUUUCAGUAGUGUUUCUUUGCCGGCAGCACUCCAACCAGUAAUUCUAUCGGCUGUGAACUUGAGGACCUUGACGCGAGACGAUAUCUCGACGUCAGAUUUGGACCAGAUACGAUCCUUUCUUUUU